UGGGGAAUAUUGCACAAUGGGCGCAAGCCUGAUGCAGCCAUGCCGCGUGUGUGAAGAAGGCCUUCGGGUUGUAAGCACUUUCAGCGAGGAGGAAGGUGGUGAACUUAAUACGUUCAUCAAUUGACGUUACUCGCAGAAGAAGCACCGGCUAACUCCGUGCCAGCAGCCGCGGUAAUACGGAGGGUGCAAGCGUUAAUCGGAAUUACUGGGCGUAAAGCGCACGCAGGCGGUUUGUUAAGUCAGAUGUGAAAUCCCCGGGCUCAACCUGGGAACUGCAUUUGAAACUGGCAAGCUAGAGUCUCGUAGAGGGGGGUAGAAUUCCAGGUGUAGCGGUGAAUGCGUAGAGAUCUGGAGGAAUACCGGUGGCGAAGGCGGCCCCCUGGACGAAGACUGAGCGC
rnacentral:rRNA from 1 species